rnacentral:rRNA from 1 species
AUUGAACGCUGGCGGCAUGCCUUACACAUGCAAGUCGAACGGCAGCGCGGGGCAACCUGGCGGCGAGUGGCGAACGGGUGAGUAAUAUAUCGGAACAUACCCUAGAGUGGGGGGAUAACGUAGCGAAAGUUACGCUAAUACCGCAUACGCACUAAGGUGGAAAGUGGGGGAUUCGCAAGAACCUCAUGCUCAUGGAGUGGCCGAUAUCUGAUUAGCUAGUUGGUGAGGUAAAGGCUCACCAAGGCGACGAUCAGUAGCUGGUUUGAGAGAACGACCAGCCACACUGGAACUGAGACACGGUCCAGACUCCUACGGGAGGCAGCAGUGGGGAAUUUUGGACAAUGGGGGGCAACCCUGAUCCAGCCAUGCCGCGUGUGUGAAGAAGGCCUUCGGGUUGUAAGCACUUAAGUGGGUAGGAAGGGACGUCGUACGUG